UACGUAGGCAGCAAGCGUUGUUCGGAAUUACUGGGCGUAAAGAGUGUGUAGGCGGUGUUCUAAGUUUGUCGUGAAAUCUCCCGGCUUAACUGGGAGGGUGCGGCGAAAACUGGAAUGCUAGAGGAUGGGAGAGGUAAGCGGAAUUCCUGGUGUAGCGGUGAAAUGCGUAGAUAUCAGGAAGAACACCCGUGGCGAAGGCGGCUCUCUGGGACGGUACUGACGCUGAGACGCGAAAGCGUGGGGAGCGAACAGG
rnacentral:rRNA from 1 species